rnacentral:lncRNA from 1 species
UUGGCGAAUGUGAGUGACAGUGGAAACAUAAUGAACUGGUAUGUUGUGUGAUGAGAUAAGGUGUGAGAGAUGCAUAAGCUGAUUCAGAUGUCCCUGUGCAGGGAAAGGUAUGAGAACCACCACCACUUGGUUUUGGUGAGGAAGAUUGUCUCCAUUGAAAGCCAUUGAGAAAAUGCUUAUAUCUGGUGUGAGAAUGGUGAGAUCCAGCAUUGUAAAUGGCCUUGGAUAAAGUAUUUAGAGAAACUUGCAAAAAGAGAUGUUUUGGUUACUAAAAAAUUAAUCACGUCCAACUCGAGGGGGCCAGUUAAUUAUUUAAAUAAAUUAAUGGAUUUGUUGUUUUAUCAUUUUUUAUUAGAUAAUUGUUUAAACCAAUUCAUAGUGAACCCUACAAUUAUGUAUCGAAAACAAAAUUUGAUAUUUUUCGUUUUGCUCUGAAAUAUGAUUCUACCGAAAUUAAUAUGAUUUUAGCGUAUAUUUGUCUUACACUAGAGAGAGAUGAUAGUAUAAUUGUGGUGAUAUUAAGUUUUUUUCCAACGAGUAAAAUGAGUAGAUCAGUAAUAAUAAAAAGGGGUUAAGAUAGUUAUGCAAGCAAUAUAAAAGAUAUUUGAAACAACAAAUAAAAAGCGGUUGAUUCAAAGUUCUUCCACCAUUGAAUUUUUCACAGGUUCUCUAAAGAUUAAUCUUUUUUUAAUUCUCCAACAGAGCUAAACCAGAUUGAACAUGCGCCGAUCUGAUUUACCUGAAACUCACCAGUAAAGCAUGUGUCUACUGGUUUAAUCAAUACCCACUUUGUUCCAUGCGUAUACUCCAUGAGAAUAUUUACCUCCUCUCUCUUGUAUCAUGCGUCCAAGAAAUUAAUCAGAACAAUACGAACUAACUAAGAAACCAAAGUUUAAGAUAUGGAAGACUUCUAAUGCGUUUAAGUACAAGCUCUCACAAAAACCCAAUUUUUUAGGAUAUUAGACUAUUAAAACAACUGCUAUAGAGAAUUAAAAAUCAAAACUUUUAUUGAACAAAACCUCAUAACUCAAUGGAGAAUUACAAAAGAAUCAACAAAAAAGAUUUAGCCUUCCAUACGGAGGCAAAACAAAAAAAUUACAAAGAAGAAAAAGAAACUAAGAAAUCCCUAUGAAACUCUCCCAUUUCUCUUUGAUGUUUGUGUCUUUUUAUAGGGUUUUUUGCUUUAAAGAUCUUGAAAAAAAUAUUGUAGUUUAUAUUUUAUUUUUAUUUUUAAUGUUUAUAUUUGUUAAAAGGAAAAUCAAAUGAGUUUUGGAGAAUUAGAAAAGAAGAAGUUGAACAUAAUUAACACACACAAAAAUCUCAUAUUAAAUUUGUAUAACCUUUUUUUACCUUCUCCGUCUAUCCCUUCAACCGGCCGGCUCUGUUUUUUAGUUCCAUUUUAUGAUUGUUACAAGUAAGUGUUACGUGAUUAACGAUGGAAGCUAUAGCAUUUUGGUGUUUAUUUGGUUAAUAUAAGACAAACUAUACUUUGACAUCUACCAAAAAAAAAAAAUACCCACUUAACAAUUAUUUUAAUAACAUAACAAUAUAUAUUAAUAUUUUAAAUUAAAAAAUAAAUAAGAAAAUAAAUUUAAUUAAAAUAUUAAUAUUAAUACUUUAAGUUGUAUAAUAAGUAUUAUUUAUUUUAUAGGUGUCAAAUAUCAUACCUCAUAAUUUAACUAUGUUUUCCACUUCAUCUUAAUUCAUGCGGCACUUAUGUCAAAAGUUGUAGUUAUAUAAAUUCAUUAAAAUUUAAAUUGUAAAUUUUGAUAUUAAAACUUCUUUUCAGAAUCUCUUUAAAAAUCAUAAGAUUUUUUCAUGUGAAAAUAAUUUUUUUUAAAUACAAAACCAGCAUAUUCUUUUAAAAUUAUUGGGUGGCGCAGUUGUCUUAAAAAAUAUGAAAUUGUUUGAAAAAUGAUGAGAAUUAAAACAAAACUUAUUGAAUAAUAUAAAAAAAAAUAUGUAAAUAAUUGUGAAAUUCAGUUAAGAUAAUUAACUUUUUCUUAAGAGAACUAAAUUUGGGGAUAUUCCAUUAAUAUUUCCUACAAACUAUAAAGAGAUGGUUGGUAUUUAAGAGUAUAAAAUUUGUAUGAAUUAUUUUUCAAAAAUGUUUUUUUUUUUCAAUAGAAUCGGGUUCUAAUAUAUAGAAUAACAUAUAAAAAAAUAAAAUUUAAGACAAAUAGGUAAAUUCAAAUAUUAAAGUUUUGCUGCAUUCUUGUAACUAUCCAACUACUUGGAUUAACUUGCAUCCAAAACUUAGUUUUGCUGCAUUCUUCGUAACUAUCCAACUAUUUGUAUUAGACCAAGAUAAUUUAAUCUUAAACGAUUUCAUCAAGAGAGUUUUAUUAAAUAGUCUUAUGGUUGAUAAUUUAUCUUUUACCAUUUUCAUAAUCACUAUAAAAAAAUUUAUUUAAUAAUCAAUGUUAGUUAACGAAAUAAGUUAGGUCAUUAAUUGUGAUUAAAAUAACGAUUUAUUGAUAUUUGUUACAAAUUUAUUACUAUCACAAUAAUUUAUUAGUAAUAUUAAUUUGUGUAGCGGAUCGAAAUAAUAUUUGUUAAAUUUUAGUCAUUAAAUUGAUGGUUAUAUAAAGUAAAAUAAAAGUUAUGUUGCCACCGAUAAAAAAAUUAUUUAUUUUAUCAAUUAAUUUAAUUUUGAUUACUAAAUCACUCUUUAAUGAAUAAUUUGAUUUUAUCGUUAGAACAUUUUAUUGUGACAUAAUUAUGCUAGAACAUUUUUGUCCUUGUUUUAAUCUAAACCUUAAUGGACAUAAGUCGAGCUUAUCGAUAAACCUAUGAGAUAAUCCAUUUUAUAAAAUAAAAAUAUUAAAAAAACAUAUUUUAUUAAAAAUAUACAUGAAUUAGAAUUUAUACACCAAAUCUAAAAUUAAUAUUAGUUUUAUCGAUAUAACUUAAAUUUUAAAAAAUACAUAUUUUAUUUUUAAUAAUUUUUUAUUUAUUUUAAAGGAAACAAAUAAUCUUCUAAUCUGGAUUAAAUCAAACUUAAAAAUCACAACCCUUUAAAAUAUUAAUCAAAUUAAUUAGAUCACCACAAUUUUAUUAUAUGAUGCAAGAAUUCCAAUUAAAUAAAAAUGUGCCACACAUUUUACCACUUUUACUUCUCUGCUUCUAAUGCCACUCUUACCAAAACUUUACUCUACACUUCCUAUGUCUAGAAACUUAAUAUUUUAGUCUUUGUUUGUACAAGCAAUUAUUUUAAUGUUUUAAUUUUAAUCCUGUACUCAAUACUAGGUUUUCUAACACUACUACAAAAUAAAUAAAUAAAUUAUAAUAUAAAACUGUAACGUCGUGCAUAUCUAUAGUAGAAUUUCAAGAUAUUUAAUUUAUUUGACAUAAAAAGUGUUUUUAGAAUUUUCAACAAAAAAAGUUAUUCUUGAUACUCAAUUUCAAUUUAAGUAUAAAAUUGUACAUAUUAGAGAAGUAUGUGACUCGGUAUCAGUCAUCAAACGAUUAGUUGAAAACAUAUUUAAAACAGUUAGAAUAAAUAAUCGUUAACACAGUUGUAAGAACAUUUUAAGAAUUCGGAAUACGUCCUACCAAAUAUGGGUAACAUCCCCAAAAAUCAGAUAAUUUCUCUAAAAAUAAGCUAACGUAUAUGAUGAAUUUGGCUCAUUACAAGAGAUGACUCAUGAAAAAAAAAUUAUAAAUAAAUCAUCUACAACAGAGUAAGAUAUGUUUUUAAUCAAUUCUUAAUAUAUACUUCGUAUAUUGAGUACUUACUUGAUCGUCGAAGUACCUUUUACAGACUAAUCCGAUCGAGCACCAACAAAUUCAAGAAAGAGACUUAAAGUGAAGAAGAAGGAAAUCACUGAACACGUCAAUAAUGAUACAACUAGUUUCAAGUACUAUGUAGACAUACUUUGUUUAUACAAGUACAAAAAUAACAUUAUUUUAUUAAAAACACAAUUUUUAUCUGGUUAGAGGAGGAUCUUGCCUCUUACUAAAAUAUGGAAAAUAGAAAAGAAAAAAAAAUUAUGUAAAAUAUAUGAACUAAAUGAUUAAUUAAACUUUUUUUAUAAAGAAAGUAAUUCAAACAGAGAGUGAGUCCAAACAAAGAACAAGUUGCAAAGUGGGAGAGAGGACAUAUCCUUCUUGUCUCUAUUGGGGACAUGCACCAUUUUUAUUUUACUUUUUUCUCCAUUAGUGACAAUUUUUAUUUUAUUUUGUCUCAAUCAGUCAAACUUUUUUUACUUUAAAUAUCCUCCAACACUUAUAAAGUAGAUUUUUUACAAUCAGCUCUCAAAAUAGAAAAAAGUUUGGCCGCCACCAUUAUUCAAAAUUAAACAUCUGUUCUGCUUUUUAUAAAUAAAAUAUUAAAAUAUUAUAUUAUAAUAAAAUAAUAAUUUAUUUAGGUUUAAAAUAAUAUAGAACACUGUUGAGUGUGACCUUAUUUAAAAAGAAAAAAAACUAUUUUCUACACUCUAUAUUUUCACUUACAUAUAUUUAACAACUAUAUAUAAUAAUAAAAUAUUAAAUUAAGUUAUUUAUAACAUCAUUGUGGUCAUGUUAGAGGUUGUUAAACAGGACCUAAGGCUUGGCUAUGUAAAUAUAUGGAAAAUAUUUUUUUUUAUCCUACACAUUAAAAAUAUAUACUUAACAUCACAUUAUAAUAAUAUUUAAAAUUAAAAAAUAAAUAUGCAUUAUCUUCACGAACUGUUAUCAAAUUACUACAUAAUUGAUAUUAAAUAUGCAAGCCAAAUUGGUUUUGGAUUAUCUUCACGAACUGUUAUAAAAUUCUGAUAUAUUAAACGAGGAAUCACACUAAUACAAGGUGAUGAGAUUAUUUAGUGAUAUGAGCAAUGAAAGAAUCCAUUUCCAUGUGAGAAACUCCACCUUCUUCUGUGGAUUUAUGGAUGACCCUUUUAAGCCUCUCUGCUCUCUCUCUCAUCUCAUCACCUUCCUCUGUUUGCAUCAACCUUCUCACACCAUCCUCAACAACUGAACCACUCACCAACGAGUUCCUCUGUGACCAAUCCUUCACAACCAAACCAACCUUCAGAACCUCUGUGAUCAGAGUUGCGUUUCUUGGUUGGUCAGAGUGAAAGGGCCAUGUUGCUAUUGGCACCCCCAUGGUUAUGCUCUCCAAGCACGAGUUCCAUCCACAAUGGCUCAGAAACCCCCCUGUUGAACUGUGGCUCAGAAUUUCCAAUUGGGGUGCCCAAUCCCUCACAACUAGCCCCAUCUCUUUCACUCUCUCCUCGAACCCAUUUGGAAGUUCAUACCUUUUUGCUUCACCUCCGUCAAAGAUAUCACCUUUAUCAGCAUCUCUCAGCACCCAGAUGAACUUCUGCUUGCUCUGUUCCAACCCAGUUGCUAUCUCUUGGAUCUGUUCAUCUCUCAAAGCUGUUGUGGUCCCGAAGGAUAUAUAUAUCACUGAAUUUGGCUCUUGUUUAUCAAGCCACUCCACGCAUGAGUGCCUUUCUUUGGAACCUUUCUUCUCAACGGCUAAAGGGUUGAACGGUCCCAGUGCCCAAAUCUUCUUGCCACCAGUGAUAGCCUUCAUCAACUCAAUGUAAUCGCCUUCAAUUACCCUGCUUGUGUUGUAGACGAUUCCAUCGCUGAGUUUGAGUAACUCACUCUGUGCACGAAAAUCCAAGAAUUGGGUUGGGAAGCAUCCUUCGAGAGAAGGAAUUUUCAGGGCGUGCAUGGCUUCAACCGAAGGCCUUCCCAUUCUGUCCCAAUAGGCAAGGUAGACGGAAAAGGCGCAUGUGCAGUGAAAAGUGUAAUUCUCAACAUUAGCCAUGUUUGUGGCAUCUUGUGCCACUGAAGCCAUGGGAGAGUCAUGGAUGACUAUAACCCUUUUGGCUUCAGAGGAGAGGGAUUGAAGCAGUUCCCUCACAGGAUCUCGAAGAUGCAUAGAGGCCUUAAGGGAAGGAAUAAGAUGACAUGGGAAAUCAGUUUCUGGGUUGUUAGGGUUGGGAGGAGGGGAAACAAAGGGUGGAACUUCAAAGCCAUGGAAAUGAAUGUUAGAAUGAAUGGAUUUGUGGUGUCUGAGUGUGGCUUGGCGAAUGUGAGUGACAGUGGAAACAUAAUGAACUGGUAUGUUGUGUGGUGAGAUAAGGUGUGAGAGAUGCAGAAGCUGAUUCAGAUGACCCUGUGCAGGGAAAGGUAUCAGAACCACCACCACUUGGUUUUGGUGAGGAAGAUUGUCUCCAUUGAAAGCCAUGAACAUGAACUUCUCAGCUAUUCAACUUUGGCAACGGAUUUCUGAGCAGAGGAUGGGUUGAAUGAUGUUUAGGUCUACAAGUAAAAUAUUU